CCCAGUGCCAUAGGGACCCCCCCAAAUCCUAUAGGGAUCCCCAUACCCCAUAGGGAUCCCCCAUAUCCCAUAGGGACUCCAUCGAUUCUGUGGAACCCCCCAACUCCAUAGGGAUCCCCAGACCCUAUAGGGUUCCCCCCCAAACCCUAUAGGGACUCCCUCAAUUCUGUGUGAACCCCCAACUCCAUAGGGAUCCUCAAACCCUAUAGAGACCCCCUAAUGCCACAUGGGAACCCCCAAAUCGGAUAGGGACCCUCACAGCCCUAUAGGGAUCCCUCACCUCCAUAAGCAUCACCAUCCCAACCCCACAGUGGUCCCACGACCCUAUAACGACCCCAUGACCUUAUAGGGUUCUCCAAAACCUGACAGGGAUCCCCCAUCGCUAUAUGAACACUGAUGUCCUAUAGGGGACCCCCAAAUCCCAUAGAAAACCCCACAAUCCAAUGGGGAUCUACCAGACCCUAGAGGAACGCCCUCAAUCACAUAUGGACUCUCAGCCCCAUAGGAACCCCCAAUAAUAGAGGGACCCCCCCCCCCCCAAAUCUUAUUAGGACCCCCUGCCCUAUAUGGAUCCCCAAAUCCUGAGCAAUAGGGUCCCCAGUGCUCCCAGUAAAAGGGAAAUGGGGGAACUGGGAGCCCCAGUAACAGAUCUAUGGGGCAACUGGGACCGCCAGGAAAAGAUAUAUGGGGUAAACUGGGCUACCAAUAAGCAAAAUUCUGACAUAAAUGACCCAAAAACUCAUUUAUGAGGUAAAUAAAGGCCCUAAAUAUCAGAUCUAUGAGGUAAAUUAGGCCUUAUGUGAGAAAAAUUCUGUCAUAAAUGACCCAAAGUGCACUUACGAUGUAAGCAAGAGGCCCAGUAAGAGAUAUAUGAGGUAAACUGGGAUCCUAGUAAGCAGAAUUCAGACAUAAUUCACCAAAAAUCACAUUUAUGAGGUAAAUAAGGCCCCAAAUAACACAUCUGUGAGGUAAACUAGGCCUUAUGUGAGAAAAAAUCUGUCAUAAAUGACCCAAAAUGCACUUCAGAGGUAAGAGAGAGGCCCAGUAAGAGAUACAUGAGGUAAACUGGGAUCCCAAUCACCAAAUUUCUGACAUAAUUCACCAAAAAUCACAUUUAUGAGGUAAAUAAGGGCCUAAAUAACAGAUCUAUGAGGUAAAUUAGGCCCUAAGUGAGGAAAAUUCUAGCAUAAAUGACCCAAAAUGCACUUAUGAGUUAAGUAAGAGGCCCAGUAAGAGAGUUGUGAGGUAAACUGGGCUCCCAGUAAGAGAUAUAUGAGGUAAACUGAGCUCCCAGUCAGCAAAAUUCUGACAUAGUUCACCAAAAAUCACAUUUAUGAGGUAAAUAAGGGCCCAAAUAACAGAUCUAUGAGGUAAAUUAGACCCUAUGUGAGAAAAAUUCUGUCAUAAAUGACCCAAAAUGCACUUAUGAGGUGAGAGGCUCAGUAAGGGAGCUGUGAGGUAAACUGUGCUCCCAGUAAGAGAUACAUGAGGUAAACUGGGCUCCCAGUCAGCAAAUUUCUGACAUAAUUCACCAAAAAUCACAUUUAUGAGGUAAAUAAGGGCCCAAAUAACAGAUCUAUGAGGUAAAUUAGACCCUAUGUGAGGAAAAUCCUGUCCUAAGUGACCCAAAGUGCACUUACUAUGUAAGCAAGAGGCCCAGUAAGAGAUAUAUGAAGUAAACUGGGAUCCUAGUAAGCAGAAUUCAGACAUAAUUCACCAAAAAUCACAUUUAUGAGGUAAAUAAGGGCCCAAAUAACAGAUCUAUGAGGUAAACUAGGCCCUAUGUGAGAAAAAUCCUGUCAGAAAUGUCUCAAAAGUGCACUUAGGAGGUAAAUAGGAGCCCCAGUAAGAGAGCUGUGAGGUAAACUGGGCUCCCAGUAAGAGAUAUAUGAGGUAAACUCAGCUCCCAGUAAGCAAAAAUCUGAUAUAACUCACCAACAAUCACAUUUAUGAGGUAAAUAAAGGCCCAAAUAACAGAUCUAUGAAAUAAAUUUGAUCCUUCAGGAGGAAAACUCUGUCAUAAACGACCCAAAAUGGACUUAUGAGGUAAGUGAGAGGCCCAGUAAGAGAUACAUGAGGUAAACUGGGAUCCUAGUAAGCAGAAUUCAGACAUAAUUCACCAAAAAUCACAUUUAUGAGGUAAAUAAAGGCCCAAAUAACAGAUCUAUGAGGUAAAUUAGACCCCAUGUGAGGAAAAUCCUGUCAUAAAUGACCCAAAAUGCACUUAUGAGGUAAGUGAGAGGCCCAGUAAGAGAGUUGUGAGGUAAACUGGGCUCCCAGUAAGAGAUACAUGAGGUAAACUGGGCUCCCAGUCAGCAAAAUUCUGACAUAAUUCACCAAAAAUCACAUUUAUGAGGUAAAUAAAGGCCCAAAUAACAGAUCUAUGAAGUAAAUUUGACCCUAUGGGAGGAAAAUCCUGUCAGAAAUGUCUCAAAAGUGCACUUAUGAGGUAAUUAAGAGGCCCAGUAAGAUAUAUAUGAGGUAAACUGGGAUCCUAGUAAGCAGAAUUCAGACAUAAUUCACCAAAAAUCACAUUUAUGAGGUAAAUAAAGGCCCAAAUAACAGAUCUAUGAGGUAAAUUAGACCCCAUGUGAGGAAAAUCCUGUCAUAAAUGACCCAAAAUGCACUUAUGAGGUAAGUGAGAGGCCCAGUAAGAGAGCUGUGAGGUAAACUGUGCUCCCAGUAAGAGAUAUAUGAGCUAAACUGGUCUCCUAGUAAGCAAAAUUCUGACAUAAAUGACCCAAAAACACAUUUAUGAGGUAAAUAAGGCCCCAAAUAACAGACCUAUGAGGUUAAUUAGGCCCUGUGUGAGAAAACCCCCACCACAGAAGCCCCAUAAGGCCCAGUGUGGUCAAUGGGCUCCCAUUAACUCAGCCUUAGACCCACGGAGACCCCCGGGAACCCAACAUGACGUCACCGAACGGCCCCCAAAUCCCCUUUUUUGAGCUCAUUCCGAUGCCGGCAAUGCGAUUUUUGAAUGUAUUUCGUAGCGCUGUGAGGUAACGCGGCCUCCCCUUCCCCCCCACCCUCAGCGUGAGGCCUACGCUCCAACCCGGCCUCCCAGUGCGGGCCUGGGGGGGAACACACAGCAAAGCCAACCCCCCCCCCCCCCCAACACCCCGUCCCACAGCAGCCCACAGCACGGAAACAGGAGUUAAAUAGAAAAGAAAAAAUAAGGGUAAAAAGGAGGAAAGAUACCAACCCAACCCCCUCCACACGUACAUAAGGAGCCGCGGUCGGGCCCGGGUGGGGCCGGAACCAUUGCGGGGCUCGCGUAGAAGUGUGUGUGUGGGGGGGGGGGGAGGG
ensembl:lncRNA